UACAGGGGGUGCAGGCGUUAUUCGGAAUUAUUGGGCGUAAAGAGCGCGUAGGCGGUCUACUAAGUUUGGUGUGAAAUCCCUGGGCUCAAUCCAGGAAGUGCAUUGAAUACUGGUAGACUUGAGUAUUGGAGAGGUAAGCGGAAUUCCCGGUGUAGAGGUGAAAUUCGUAGAUAUCGGGAGGAACAACAGUGGCGAAGGCGACUACCUGGCCUGUUCUUGACGCUGAGGCGCGAAAGCUAGGGGAGCAAACGGG
rnacentral:rRNA from 1 species